UAAAAAAUAAAUUUCCAAAUAUACUAUCCACGCAUGAAAGUUUAUUUUAAAUUUUAAUUGUACCGUGUAUAAUUUCCCAAAAAAAAAAUAAAAAAAAAAGAAAAGAAAUCACUGAUCGUCCCACCCAGACCAUAAACGAAGUUUAUUGACAAAUUUAUUUAUUUAUUUGGACUAUAUUUAUUGAAACAACACAAAAAUCAAUUGAUUCUUUGAGUGUUUGAAAAAUGUUUGGCAAUGGUGCGGAUACCUUUUUGUCCCGCCACUUGUCACCGGCCGCUGCCACUGCUGAACUGAUUCAAUCCUCCAAAACGAACUCCGGGGACUGGUUUCUAUGUGUGGUGGGAAACAUAACGUUUAUAAUUGAGGUGGGUGCCUGAUUGUGCAACUUGGAAUGGUGUUACUAUUUAAAAGAGCACACAGAAAGAUGUCUGCCAUUGAUCGUGUAAGAACAAAAAUAAAGCAUUUAUGCAGUCCAGCAAUGUAUAUGAGCCUAUGAGGUUGGGCAACUACUUGGUCCAGUUCCAUUAGUGGUCUAAGGCUGAAAGUCUCAACCACCACAAU